rnacentral:rRNA from 1 species
UACAGAGGGGGCAAGCGUUGUUCGGAAUUACUGGGCGUAAAGGGCGCGUAGGCGGCCUUCUAAGUCGAACGUGAAAUCCCCGGGCUCAACCCGGGAACUGCGUCCGAUACUGGAAGGCUUGAAUCCGGGAGAGGGAUGCGGAAUUCCAGGUGUAGCGGUGAAAUGCGUAGAUAUCUGGAGGAACACCCGUGGCUAAGGCGGCUCUCUAGUACGGUACUGACGCUGAGAG